rnacentral:rRNA from 1 species
CAAUAGCGUAUAUUAAAGUUGUUGCGGUUAAAAAGCUCGUAGUUGGAUUUCUGCUGAGAACGACCGGUCCGCCCUUUGGGUGUGUAUCUGGCUCUUUCUUGGCAUCUUCUUGGUGAACGUUGCUGCACUUGACUGUGUGGAGCGCUACCCAGGACUUUUACUUUGAGGAAAUUAGAGUGUUUCAAGCAGGCAUACGCCUUGAAUACAUUAGCAUGGAAUAAUAAGAUAGGACCUCGGUUCUAUUUUGUUGGUUUCUAGAGCUGAGGUAAUGAUUAAUAGGGAUAGUUGGGGGCAUUCGUAUUUAACUGUCAGAGGUGAAAUUCUUGGAUCUGCUAAAGACGGACAAGUGCGAAAGCGUUCGCCCAGGAUGUUUUCAUUGA